GAAGGUAUUUUUGGUGCCAGAUUUGGGGGAAAUGGGGAUUCCGUCAGAAAUUAAGGAUUUUCUCGCGAAUCGGAGGAAUGCUUUGGUGAUUCAAUCUCCGUUUGAGGAUGAGAAAUCUCUUCGCACAAAGCAGUGUACUCAAGAAUCGGUGCGCGCAGGAGCCAAAGCUGCUUCAAUUGCAUGUGUUGCCAGCGCUGUCCCCACUUUGGUAGCCGUUCGAACAAUUCCUUGGGCUAAGGCAAAUUUGAACUAUACAGCACAGGCGUUGAUUAUAUCUGCUGCGACCAUAGCAGCGUAUUUCAUUACGGCGGACAAAGCUAUUUUGGAGUGCGCAAGGAGGAACACUCACUACAAACCAAGUUAAUCAAAGAUAGCGAAUUCGAGCUCUCGAGACGUCAUGCUUUUCUUUCUAUUGCCAAGAAAUACCGAGAUGAUCAAGAAGCACUCUCACACCAUUUCCCUUCGAGGUCCCAGGCGGAACGAUUUCAAGCAUAUCCGAUACUGCUUGGACAACGGAUGCACGAUCCCCUACUGCUUCCUCCCAGUAUGGUCGCAAAGUACCAG